rnacentral:rRNA from 1 species
GUGAACACUGGCGGUAGGCCUAACACAUGCAGGUCGAACGGCAGCACAGUAAGAGCUUGCUCUUACGGGUGGCGAGUGGCGGACGGGUGAGGAAUACAUCGGAAUCUACUUUUUCGUGGGGGAUAACGUAGGGAAACUUACGCUAAUACCGCAUACGACCUACGGGUGAAAGCAGGGGAUCUUCGGACCUUGCGCGAUUGAAUGAGCCGAUGUCGGAUUAGCUAGUUGGCGGGGUAAAGGCCCACCAAGGCGACGAUCCGUAGCUGGUCUGAGAGGAUGAUCAGCCACACUGGAACUGAGACACGGUCCAGACUCCUACGGGAGGCAGCAGUGGGGAAUAUUGGACAAUGGGCGCAAGCCUGAUCCAGCCAUACCGCGUGGGUGAAGAAGGCCUUCGGGUUGUAAAGCCCUUUUGUUGGGAAAGAAAAGCAGCAGGUUAAUACCCCGCUGUUCUGACGGUACCCAAAGAAUAAGCACCGGCUAACUUCGUG